rnacentral:rRNA from 1 species
ACGGGUGAGUAACACGUGGGUAACUUGCCUCAUAGAGGGGAAUAGCCUUCCGAAAGGAAGAUUAAUACCGCAUAAGAUUGUAGUGCCGCAUGGUGCAGCAAUUAAAGGAGCAAUCCGCUAUGGGAUGGACCCGCGUCGCAUUAGCUAGUUGGUGAGGUAACGGCUCACCAAGGCGACGAUGCGUAGCCGACCUGAGAGGGUGAUCGGCCACAUUGGGACUGAGACACGGCCCAGACUCCUACGGGAGGCAGCAGUGGGGAAUAUUGCACAAUGGGGGAAACCCUGAUGCAGCAACGCCGCGUGAGUGAUGACGGUCUUCGGAUUGUAAAACUCUGUCUUCAGGGACGAUAAUGACGGUACCUGAGGAGGAAGCCACGGCUAACUACGUGCCAGCAGCCGCGGUAAUACGUAGGUGGCAAGCGUUGUCCGGAUUUACUGGGCGUAAAGGGAGCGUAGGUGGAUAUUUAAGUGGGAUGUGAAAUACUCGGGCUUAACCUGAGUGCUGCAUUCCAAACUGGAUAUCUAGAGUGCAGGAGAGGAAAGUAGAAUUCCUAGUGUAGCGGUGAAAUGCGUAGA